GAACGCUAGCUACAGGCUUAACACAUGCAAGUCGAGCGGAAACGACAUCGAAAGCUUGCUUUUGAUGGGCGUCGACCGGCGCACGGGUGAGUAACGCGUAUCCAACCUGCCCAUCACUUGGGGAUAACCUUGCGAAAGUAAGACUAAUACCCAAUGAUAUCUCUAGAAGACAUCUGAAAGAGAUUAAAGAUUUAUCGGUGAUGGAUGGGGAUGCGUCUGAUUAGCUUGUUGGCGGGGUAACGGCCCACCAAGGCGACGAUCAGUAGGGGUUCUGAGAGGAAGGUCCCCCACAUUGGAACUGAGACACGGUCCAAACUCCUACGGGAGGCAGCAGUGAGGAAUAUUGGUCAAUGGACGAGAGUCUGAACCAGCCAAGUAGCGUGCAGGAUGACGGCCCUAUGGGUUGUAAACUGCUUUUAUAAGGGAAUAAAGUGAGCCUCGUGAGGCUUUUUGCAUGUACCUUAUGAAUAAGGACCGGCUAAUUCCGUGCCAGCAGCCGCGGUAAUACGGAAGGUCCGGGCGUUAUCCGGAUUUAUUGGGUUUAAAGGGAGCGUAGGCCGGAGAUUAAGCGUGUUGUGAAAUGUAGACGCUCAACGUCUGCACUGCAGCGCGAACUGGCUUCCUUGAGUACGCACAAAGUGGGCGGAAUUCGUGGUGUAGCGGUGAAAUGCUUAGAUAUCACGAAGAACUCCGAUUGCGAAGGCAGCUCACUGGAGCGCAACUGACGCUGAAGCUCGAAAGUGCGGGUAUCGAACAGGAUUAGAUACCCUGGUAGUCCGCACGGUAAACGAUGGAUGCCCGCUGUUGGUCUGAAUAGGUCAGCGGCCAAGCGAAAGCAUUAAGCAUCCCACCUGGGGAGUACGCCGGCAACGGUGCAA
rnacentral:rRNA from 1 species